rnacentral:rRNA from 1 species
GACGAACGCUGGCGGCGUGCUUAACACAUGCAAGUCGAACGGCAAGGCCCUGCUUGUGUGGUGUGCUCGAGUGGCGAACGGGUGAGUAACACGUGAGUAACCUGCCCUUGACUUUGGUAUAACUUCAGGAAACUGGGGCUACUCCCGUAUCGGAUCUCCUGCUCCAUUGUGGGGGUUGGAAAUUUUCGGCGGUUGGGGAUGGACUCGCGGCUUAUCAGCUUGUUGGUGGGGUAGUUGCUUACCCAGGCUUUGACGGGUAGCCGGCCUGAGAGGGUGACCGGCCACAUUGGGACUGAGAGACGGACCAGACUCCUACGGGAGGCAGCAGUGGGGAAUAUUGCACAAUGGGAGGAAGCCUGAUGCAGCAACGCCGGGUGCGGGAUGACGGCCUUCGGGGAGUAAAAAGCUUUCGCUUGUGACGAAGCGGGAGUGACGGUAAUGGGUAAAGAAGCACCGGCUAACUACGUG